UACGGAGGGUGCAAGCGUUGUCCGGAUUUAUUGGGUUUAAAGGGUGCGUAGGCGGUCUUUUAAGUCAGCGGUGAAAUCCUCCAGCUUAACUGGAGAACUGCCAUUGAUACUGGAAGACUUGAGUACAGACGAGGUAGGCGGAAUUGACAGUGUAGCGGUGAAAUGCGUAGAUAUUGUCAAGAACACCGAUUGCGAAGGCAGCUUACUAGACUGUAACUGACGCUGAGGCACGAAAGUGUGGGGAUCAAACAGG
rnacentral:rRNA from 1 species